GUCUGCUCCUAUGAAAUGGCCAGGCAGGAACCCUGGGAGGGGAAGGUGAGCAAGAGGGCAUGCAGAUCAGACAUACCCCAGUCCCAUGGGAAAGACAGUCCUGCUUUCUCCAGGUCAGACAAUCAACUGAGGUUAGAGCCUCUUAGAGGAAUACAGAGAGCCUUGGGGAAUGGGUGCUUAUGACUGUGUUUUGUUACAGAUGUCCUGAUGCAGAACGGCCUGGGCUCCACACAGGCUCAAGCACUGUCUCUGCCAACUCUCUGGGCAGUUCCCCCUGCCAACUCAAGUGUGCAUGUAGGUCAUGGAAUCUCCCACAGUUAGGAUCCUGGAGGUCCAUGGUGAACUAUCUUUCCCAGCUACUCAGGAAGCUAAGGUGGGAGGAUCACUUGAGCCUAGGAGUUCAAGACCAGACUAGGUAACAUAACGAACCUCAACUCUAAACAACAAAAAAGUUCAUCAUCAUUGGUCAUUAGAGAAAUGCAAAUCAAAACCACAAUGGGAUUCCAUCUCACCAGUUAGAAUGGCAAACAUUAAAAAGUCAGGAAACAACAGAUUCUGGAGAGCAUGUGGAGAAAUAGGAACACUUUUACAUUGUUGAUGGCAGUGUAAAUUAGUUCACUUUAUGUCUUUUUAUGGGAG
rnacentral:lncRNA from 1 species